rfam:Danio rerio chromosome 4, GRCz11 reference primary assembly.
GGUACUGUGGCUUAGUUGGUCAUAGCGCCUGUCUAGUAAACAGGAGAUCCUGGGUUUGAAUCCCAGCAGUGCCU